rnacentral:rRNA from 1 species
AAUAUGGGACAAUGGUGGCGACCCUGACCGAGUGACGCCGCGUUAGUUAUUAAUGUUUUCGGUUCGUAAAACACUGUUGUUAGGGAAAAAUAAGUAUCGGAGCCACGGCCGAUACCUUGACGGUACCGGACGAUAAAGCAACUGCUAACUACCUGCCAUCAGCCCCGGUCAUACGUAGGUGGCAAGCGUUGUCCGGAUUUAUUGUGCGUAAAGCGCGCGAAGGCGGUCUUUUAAGUCUGAUGUGAAAUCUUACAGCUUAACUGUAAGCGGUCAUUGGAAACUGGGAGACUUGAGUGCAGAAGAGGAGAGUGGAAUUCCAUGUGUAGCGGUGAAAUGCGUAGAGAUAUGGAGGAACACCAGUGGCGAAGGCGACUCUCUGGUCUGUAACUGACGCUGAGGCGCGAAAGCGUGGGGAUCAAACA